UACGUAGGGUCCGAGCGUUAAUCGGAAUACUGGGCGUAAAGCGUGCGCAGGCGGUUUUGUAAGUCUGUCGUGAAAUCCCCGGGCUCAACCUGGGAAUUGCGAUGGAGACUGCAAGGCUAGAAUCUGGCAGAGGGGGGUAGAAUUCCACGUGUAGCAGUGAAAUGCGUAGAGAUGUGGAGGAACACCGAUGGCGAAGGCAGCCCCCUGGGUCAAGAUUGACGCUCAUGCACGAAAGCGUGGGGAGCAAACGAGG
rnacentral:rRNA from 1 species